AGCACUACUUUUAAACCUGUUGGUGGAAUUUCCUGACCACCAUGGGUUACGCUGUAGUGCAACAGAAUCUCCUGGCUCUUCAGAGCAUAGCUGACCUUGCUCUGUUCAGCUGAUGCUUCUCUGAAGCUAAGGAACAGAA
rnacentral:snoRNA from 1 species